rnacentral:lncRNA from 1 species
GCUCACAUGUGUGACCUGUGCAUGUCCUGUGUGUGUCCCAUGUGUCCACAGGUGUGUGACCCAUGUGUCCUGUGAGUGCUCAGGUGUGUGUCACCCGUGUGUGACCUGUGCGUGUCCCCUGUGCGCCCAUGUGUCUGUGCUCACAUGUGUGACCUGUAUGAGACCCGUAUGUGACCUGUGCAUGUCCCCUGUGUGCUCACAUGUGUCCCCUGUGUGUCCCCUGGGUACGAGCAGAGCCGGGGGCCCAGGUGUGCUCACCUGUGUGAGGGCACGGCCCCACAGGCACACCUGAGUUCUGUCUGUAUGUCUGCAUGUGUCUGUGCCCACGUCUGUGGGUGUCUGUGUGUCUGUCCAUGCCUGUGUGUGUCUGUACCCGUGUCUGUCUGUGCGUCUGUCUGUGCCCAUGCCCAUGUCUGUCCGUGCCCAUGCCCGUGUCUAUCCGUGCCCAUGCCCAUGUCUGUCUGUGCCCAUGCCCAUGUGUCUGUCCGUGUCCAUGCCCAUGUCUGUCUGUGCCCAUGCCCAUGUCUGUUUGUGCCCAUGCCCAUGUGUCUGUCUGUGCCCAUGUGUCUGUUUGUGCCCAUACCCAUGUCUGUCUAUGCCCAUGUCCAUGUGUCUGUCCGUGCCCAUGCCCGUGUCUGUCCGUGUCCACGCCCAUGUAUCUGUCCGUGCCCGUGCCCAUGUCUGUUUGUGCCCAUGCCCAUGUGUCUGUCUGUGCCCAUGUCCAUGUGUCUGUCUGUGCCCAUGCUCAUGCCCAUGUGUCUGUCUGUGCCCAUGCCCGUCUCUGUCCAUGCCCAUGUCCAUGUGUCUGUCUGUGCCCAUGCUCAUGCCCAUGUGUCUGUCUGUGCCCAUGCCCAUGUGUCUGUCCGUGCCCAUGCCCAUGUCUGUCCGUGCCCAUGCCCAUGUCUGUCCGUGCCCAUGCCCAUGUGUCUGUCCGUGCCCAUGCCCAUGUCUGUCUGUGCCCAUGCCCAUGUGUCUGUGCCGAUGCCCAUGCCCAUGUCUGUCCAUGCCCAUGCCC